UUGUUUGCAGGUGGGAAGCUUUACUGGUAUUUCGGAUGUAUUAUUAUUUUCUUGGACUUGAAGAGUGAGGUGUUUGGAAGGAUUGAGAUUCCCUACAAAGAUAUUGGCUUUAAAAUGGACUACUUCGUGGGUGUGCUUGGUGGUUGCCUUUGCGUGCUAUAUUAUAAUCCUUCAUUUCCUGAUCGAAGAGGCCUUCGAGUUUCGAGAGUUUGUGUUAUGAAGGAGGCUUGGGAGGAAGUGGUGACUCUUUCUCAUCUUAAUGAGCUUCUUCAACCACCAUUGGUAAGUCUAAAUGGAGAGAUUUUGGUAGAUUGUGGAUCCACUUUGUUGGUUUACAGUGCCCAUGAUAAUGUCUUUCGAUUUACCAAGGUUUCUUCGGGUUUACGUUCAUAUGUCUAUGUUGAAAGUUUACUCUCGCCGGA
rnacentral:lncRNA from 1 species